rnacentral:rRNA from 1 species
UACGGAGGGGGGCUAGCGUUGUUCGGAAUUACUGGGCGUAAAGCGCACGUAGGCGGCUUUGUAAGUUAGAGGUGAAAGCCCGGGGCUCAACUCCGGAAUUGCCUUUAAGACUGCAUCGCUAGAAUUGUGGAGAGGUAAGUGGAAUUCCGAGUGUAGAGGUGAAAUUCGUAGAUCUACGAAGGAAACGCCAAAAAGCGAAGGCAGCUCUCUGGGUCCCUACCGGACGCUGGGGUGCGAAAGCAUGGGGAGCGAACAGG